rnacentral:rRNA from 1 species
GAUGAACGCUGGCGGCGUGCCUAAUACAUGCAAGUCGAGCGAACAGACGAGGAGCUUGCUCCUCUGACGUUAGCGGCGGACGGGUGAGUAACACGUGGAUAACCUACCUAUAAGACUGGGAUAACUUCGGGAAACCGGAGCUAAUACCGGAUAAUAUAUUCAACCGCAUGGUUCAAUAGUGAAAGGCGGUUUUGCUGUCACUUAUAGAUGGAUCCGCGCCGCAUUAGCUAGUUGGUAAGGUAACGGCUUACCAAGGCGACGAUGCGUAGCCGACCUGAGAGGGUGAUCGGCCACACUGGAACUGAGACACGGUCCAGACUCCUACGGGAGGCAGCAGUAGGGAAUCUUCCGCAAUGGGCGAAAGCCUGACGGAGCAACGCCGCGUGAGUGAUGAAGGUCUUCGGAUCGUAAAACUCUGUUAUUAGGGAAGAACAAAUGUGUAAGUAACUAUGCACGUCUUGACGGUACCUAAUCAGAAAGCCACGGCUAACUACGUG